CUAAACAAUGAAAGUGCUGUGUAUGAAAACAAUCCUUUAUCCAAACCCCACACGCCGUCACCAAAGAGUGACCCAAAACCUCAACCAAGUAAAAAUGAAGCAGAUUUAUACGUCAACUUGGAAGAUUUGUAUGAAAAUAUCUGAUGAGCAAACAAUAGAAAUGAUCCCAAUACAGCAUUUAAAAAUGAUCGACUUUAUUCAGCUUUAUAUAAGAUCAACAGCAGUAAUGAUUUUAAAAAAAAAAAAGUUGUUAAGCAUUUUAUGGACUCAAUCUUCAAACGUAUUGACGCUUUAUAAGCUUUAUUUAGUAUACAGGUUUACUAUGUGCAUCUAUUUUUUUUUUUUUGUAUUUUUCUUUUUACCUGGUUAUUAUUAAAGAUGAUUAAACCAUAUACGCAUGUUAAGUGAAAUAGCAUUUGUAAAUCUUGUAUUUGUAUCUUUUUGUAUUUUGUGUCUUCAUAUUUUACUCUCUGCUUG